rnacentral:sRNA from 1 species
UGUAAUCAAAAUUUUAGAGUUUAAGGUUUUAUUUUUCUUAAAUCUAAAAUUUUACUAAACUAAAUUCAUUAAUAAGACAUUUUAUUAAUUUAAAAAGAUGAAAAAAAGAUAGUAAAUGAAAAGUUUAACAAAUAUAAAUAUAUAGAAAAAUGCUUAUAAUUGAUUUUUUUUAUAACAUAAAAGUCUUAAAACUUUUUUAUAAAAAUAUGCUCCUCUACUAUAAUGUCCUAAGCCGUGGCUUCACUUGAUUGUGUAGAAUGUCGAACCUGGCUACGAAGCACCUAAUAAUGUUAGACAUUUUGACGUGGUAGGAGUUGUGAAACGUCUGACUUUUUCUUCAGGCAUUGGUAUUCCUAAAAAUUAUACAUGUGGCCGCAAAACUGCACUUGUUCCGCCCAGAGUAUACAACACUUGCUAAAGAUGUAAGUGAGUUUAGUUUAAAUUAAUUUUAUAUCGUGUGAACUAAGAUAUCUUAAAAAUAAUUAUUUCAGUGAAUUCCAUCCUUUUUUUUAAGAAAUUUAUCGUGGGUCAAAAUAUAUGAGCUCUUUUUACAAGGGAGUAAUAGAUGUGAUGGUUUGUAAGACUAGAAUAGCGAAAGGGGAGUUUGUUGCGUUCGUGAAGUUGCCUUGCUCAAAAGUGGAAUCUCUAUAUGUCUCAUUAGACAUUUUGCUAAUCCAAGCGAAACGAAAGGUGCGUGGUGGUCGUCGUCUUACUGAUCCCGACACAAAGUUAGCUACGCAUACGCGUUUGUUAAUAGAUUUUGUAGCUUUUGCUCCUCCUAAAUAGUCUUUUGCUCAAAUGUUACCCACGUUGAGGAAAAUUGUAGGGUUUAACAGAAAAUUCUAACGGAACGUUAACUCUGUUUACGAAAAUUUCACGGCAUGUCCGAAUUGGCCCAGUCAAUAAAACUUGACCAUUUUAUCAAAGAAUAAAAAAAAUAUGAUUUAAAUAACAUUUCGAAAGUUCAUGUUUUUUUCGUCCCAAAUUUAAAAAUUAGCGAUUUUUUCAAUAUUUUUCCCGUAAAUCAAAUUAUCCGAAAAGUUUUGAUUUUGACUUUGCUAAAAGAGAAAAUCU